rnacentral:rRNA from 1 species
UACGAAGGGGGCUAGCGUUGCUCGGAAUCACUGGGCGUAAAGGGUGCGUAGGCGGGUUUUUAAGUCAGGGGUGAAAUCCUGGAGCUCAACUCCAGAACUGCCUUUGAUACUGAAGAUCUUGAGUCCGGGAGAGGUGAGUGGAACUGCGAGUGUAGAGGUGAAAUUCGUAGAUAUUCGCAAGAACACCAGUGGCGAAGGCGGCUCACUGGCCCGGUACUGACGCUGAGGCACGAAAGCGUGGGGAGCAAACAGGG